AAAGGAUUAUACGACUGGCGGACAAACAUGGAAUUAACCAUGGGGAAGUAUAAUCCUAAUAAUAAAUCGCCCGCCUGGAUGAUAGUA
rnacentral:ncRNA from 2 species